CGGCGGACGGGUGAGUAACGCGUGGGUAACCCGCCUCAUACAGGGGGAUAACAGUUGGAAACGGCUGCUAAUACCGCAUAAGCGCACAGUACCGCAUGGUACCGUGUGAAAAACUCCGGUGGUAUGAGAUGGACCCGCGUCUGAUUAGCUAGUUGGUGGGGUAACGGCCUACCAAGCGACGAUCAGUAGCCGACCUGAGAGGGUGACCGGCCACAUUGGGACUGAGACACGGCCCAA
rnacentral:rRNA from 1 species